rnacentral:tRNA from 9 species
AGCGGGCGAGAGCGCUGGUGUGCUCGCCGGUCUCAUAAGCCGGAUAUGAUCGGUUCGAUCCCGAUGCCCGCAACCA